UACGUAAGGUGCGAGCGUUAAUCGGGAUUACUGGGCGUAAAGCGUGCGCAGGCGGUUUUGGAAGGCAGAUGUGAAAUCCCCGGGCUUAACCUGGGAAUGGCAUUUGGGACUGCAAGGCUUGAGUGCGGCAGAGGAGACUGGAAUUCCUGGUGUAGCGGUGAAAUGCGCAGAUAUCAGGAGGAACACCGGUGGCGAAGGCGGGUCUCUGGGCCGGAACUGACGCUGAGGAGCGAAAGCCAGGGGAGCGAACGGG
rnacentral:rRNA from 1 species